UUGCAUCUGUUGACAGAUUCGAAGCAGAUUACUGUGGCUUUCCAGGUUUUUUUUAACAGUUAGAUGCAAGAUUAAUUUUCUUGUUUUCUAUUUGAUCUCAUAGCAAUUCAGAUUGAAUAGAAAAAUAUAUAU